rnacentral:rRNA from 1 species
UACGGAGGAUGCGAGCGUUAUCCGGAUUUAUUGGGUUUAAAGGGUGCGUAGGCGGAUUGAUAAGUCAGUGGUGAAAACCUGCAGCUUAACUGUAGAACUGCCGUUGAUACUAUCAGUCUUGAGUACGGUCAAGGUAGGCGGAAUGUGUAAUGUAGCGGUGAAAUGCUUAGAUAUUACACAGAACACCGAUUGCGAAGGCAGCUUACUGGGCCGAAACUGACGCUGAGGCACGAAAGCGUGGGGAUCGAAC